GAUCAGGUGACUCCAUCCUCCCUGACCGAGACCUGUUGCUACAUACCCAGCCCCAAUCACCCACCCCCACCAACGGACUAGUGCUCUCCCACCUGCAAGAUCCCUAUAUAAGCUUCCAGCUCAGCCCAUACAGUUGCUGAUCUCCAUUCUGUGAGUCAGCCCAGCAGGCUGCAGACUGCUGCCCCAAUAAAGCUUGCUUGAACGUCUGUGUGUGGCCCCCUUCUUCGGCGAUCCUUUCAUUCUGGUGCCGAAAACCUGGGAGGCGGCGCUAUCGGGACCUGCGGGCUCGCCCCACCAGGGUCCAGAACUGCACUCCCGAUCGCCCCUUCCCAGACCUGCAGUUGCCGAACCGGGGCACACACCUCCGGGGCUUUCAGUCCUUUGCCAUUGCUGAUGCCGCAUCCAACACUGGCCCGAUUCUCUCAAUGGCAUGGGAGGCCAGUCCCCUCGUCCCUUCUCAUGAGGGAAUCCAGUCUGUCUCUGCCUGACCUGUUGGGCCUAGCUGAGGAAGAGUGACUAUGCCCUGGGACAUUGGCCCCUUCGCCCAUCACGUCAAAGGAGCCCAGGGUAACUAUCCACAUGGCAGGUAAGCCGAUCUCAUUUCUUAUUGACUAGGGCCACUUAUUUUGCCUUGCCUGAAUGCCCCAGACCCAUGCAUCCCUCGGGGGUCUGAAUUGAGGGAGUUGGUGGACUUGUUUCCUCCCCACUAGCCACUGAGCCUUUGUCUUCCCACAUACAGGGCCUCCCUUUCUCCCAGUCAUUUCUCCUUUUACCUCGCUGCCCCAUCCCCAUUCUGGGUACCUCAUUGCCCCAUCCCCAUUCAUGGGAUCUGCUCUCCAAAUUUAAGGCAGCCAUUUCUUUCCAGUUACCCAUAGCUGAGUCUGCUUUCAUCCUGGUCCUC
rnacentral:lncRNA from 1 species